AUACGGAGGGUGCGAGCGUUAAUCGGAAUUACUGGGCGUAAAGCGUACGUAGGCGGUUGGUUAAGUUAGAUGUGAAAGCCCCGGGCUUAACCUGGGAACUGCAUUUAAAACUGGCGAACUAGAGUUGAGUAGAGGGGAGUGGAAUUUCAGGUGUAGCGGUGAAAUGCGUAGAGAUCUGAUGGAACACCAGUGGCGAAGGCGACUCCCUGGACUCGAACUGACGCUGAGGUACGAAAGCGUGGGUAGCAAACGGGAUUAGAAACCCUAGUAGUCC
rnacentral:rRNA from 1 species